ensembl:piRNA 21ur-5181 ncRNA
UGAUUAUUCUAUUUUUCACAA